AACUGCACAAUGUGGGAAACCACGAUGCGGGAAACCCAAGUGCCAGCGCUAUGCGUUGGCUGUCCUCCAGUGUUCGUAACUGGGGAAGAAAGUGCUGGGCAAGACGGGUGCCAGCCGCCGCGGUAAUACCCGCAGCACAAGUGGUGGUCAUUAUUAUUGGGCCUAAAGCGUCCGUAGCUGGCUUGUUAGAUGCCUGGGUAAAUCGAUGCGCUCAACGCAUCGAACUCCGGGUAGACCGGCAAGCUUGGGACCGGGAGAGGCGUGAGCUACUCGAGGGGUAGGGGUAAAAUCCUGUAAUCCUUCGGGGAGGACCAGUGGCGAAGGCGUCACGCUAGAACGGCUCCGACAGUGAGGGACGAAGCCCUGGGGCGCAAACCGGAUUAGAUACCCGGGUAGUCCAGGGUGUAAACGCUGCAGACUUGGUGUCGGUGAUCCUACGAGGGUUGCCGGUGCCGUAGAGAAGUUGUUUAGUCUGCCGCCUGGGGAGUACGGUCGCAAGACUGAAACUUAA
rnacentral:rRNA from 1 species